rnacentral:rRNA from 1 species
GAUGAACGCUGGCGGCGUGCCUAAUACAUGCAAGUCGAGCGAACAGACGAGGAGCUUGCUCCUCUGACGUUAGCGGCGGACGGGUGAGUAACACGUGGAUAACCUACCUAUAAGACUGGGAUAACUUCGGGAAACCGGAGCUAAUACCGGAUAAUAUAUUGAACCGCAUGGUUCAAUAGUGAAAGACGGUUUAGCUGUCACUUAUAGAUGGAUCCGCGCCGCAUUAGCUAGUUGGUAAGGUAACGGCUUACCAAGGCAACGAUGCGUAGCCGACCUGAGAGGGUGAUCGGCCACACUGGAACUGAGACACGGUCCAGACUCCUACGGGAGGCAGCAGUAGGGAAUCUUCCGCAAUGGGCGAAAGCCUGACGGAGCAACGCCGCGUGAGUGAUGAAGGUCUUCGGAUCGUAAAACUCUGUUAUUAGGGAAGAACAAAUGUGUAAGUAACUAUGCACGUCUUGACGGUACCUAAUCAGAAAGCCACGGCUAACUACGUG